AGAGUUUGAUCAUGGCUCAGAUUGAACGCUGGCGGCAGGCCUAACACAUGCAAGUCGAGCGGUAGCACAGAGAGCUUGCUCUCGGGUGACGAGCGGCGGACGGGUGAGUAAUGUCUGGGAAACUGCCUGAUGGAGGGGGAUAACUACUGGAAACGGUAGCUAAUACCGCAUAACGUCGCAAGACCAAAGUGGGGGACCUUCGGGCCUCAUGCCAUCAGAUGUGCCCAGAUGGGAUUAGCUAGUAGGUGGGGUAACGGCUCACCUAGGCGACGAUCCCUAGCUGGUCUGAGAGGAUGACCAGCCACACUGGAACUGAGACACGGUCCAGACUCCUACGGGAGGCAGCAGUGGGGAAUAUUGCACAAUGGGCGCAAGCCUGAUGCAGCCAUGCCGCGUGUGUGAAGAAGGCCUUCGGGUUGUAAAGCACUUUCAGCGGGGAGGAAGGCGGUGAGGUUAAUAACCUCAUCGAUUGACGUUACCCGCAGAAGAAGCACCGGCUAACUCCGUGCCAGCAGCCGCGGUAAUACGGAGGGUGCAAGCGUUAAUCGGAAUUACUGGGCGUAAAGCGCACGCAGGCGGUCUGUCAAGUCGGAUGUGAAAUCCCCGGGCUCAACCUGGGAACUGCAUUCGAAACUGGCAGGCUAGAGUCUUGUAGAGGGGGGUAGAAUUCCAGGUGUAGCGGUGAAAUGCGUAGAGAUCUGGAGGAAUACCGGUGGCGAAGGCGGCCCCCUGGACAAAGACUGACGCUCAGGUGCGAAAGCGUGGGGAGCAAACAGGAUUAGAUACCCUGGUAGUCCACGCUGUAAACGAUGUCGAUUUGGAGGUUGUGCCCUUGAGGCGUGGCUUCCGGAGCUAACGCGUUAAAUCGACCGCCUGGGGAGUACGGCCGCAAGGUUAAAACUCAAAUGAAUUGACGGGGGCCCGCACAAGCGGUGGAGCAUGUGGUUUAAUUCGAUGCAACGCGAAGAACCUUACCUGGUCUUGACAUCCACAGAACUUUCCAGAGAUGGAUUGGUGCCUUCGGGAACUGUGAGACAGGUGCUGCAUGGCUGUCGUCAGCUCGUGUUGUGAAAUGUUGGGUUAAGUCCCGCAACGAGCGCAACCCUUAUCCUUUGUUGCCAGCGGUCCGGCCGGGAACUCAAAGGAGACUGCCAGUGAUAAACUGGAGGAAGGUGGGGAUGACGUCAAGUCAUCAUGGCCCUUACGACCAGGGCUACACACGUGCUACAAUGGCAUAUACAAAGAGAAGCGACCUCGCGAGAGCAAGCGGACCUCAUAAAGUAUGUCGUAGUCCGGAUUGGAGUCUGCAACUCGACUCCAUGAAGUCGGAAUCGCUAGUAAUCGUAGAUCAGAAUGCUACGGUGAAUACGUUCCCGGGCCUUGUACACACCGCCCGUCACACCAUGGGAGUGGGUUGCAAAAGAAGUAGGUAGCUUAACCUUCGGGAGGGCGCUUACCACUUUGUGAUUCAUGACUGGGGUGAAGUCGUAACAAGGUAACCGUAGGGGAACCUGCGGUUGGAUCACCUCCUU
rnacentral:rRNA from 1 species